GACGAACGCUGGCGGCGUGCUUAACACAUGCAAGUCGAACGGAAAGGCCCUGCUUUUGUGGGGUGCUCGAGUGGCGAACGGGUGAGUAACACGUGAGUAACCUGCCCUUGACUUUGGGAUAACUUCAGGAAACUGGGGCUAAUACCGGAUAGGAGCUCCUGCUGCAUGGUGGGGGUUGGAAAGUUUCGGCGGUUGGGGAUGGACUCGCGGCUUAUCAGCUUGUUGGUGGGGUAGUGGCUUACCAAGGCUUUGACGGGUAGCCGGCCUGAGAGGGUGACCGGCAACCUUGGGACUGAGAUACGGCCCGGACUCCUACGGGAGGCAGCAGUGGGGAAUAUUGCACAAUGGGCGGAAGCCUGAUGCAGCAACGCCGCGUGCGGGAUGACGGCCUUCGGGUUGUAAACCGCUUUCGCCUGUGACGAAGCGUGAGUGACGGUAAUGGGUAAAGAAGCACCGGCUAACUACGUG
rnacentral:rRNA from 1 species